GGCCUGCUGCGGGGUGAUGUAGUGGAUGUGCGAGUCCACCCCACCGGCGGUGAGGAUGCGGUGCUCACCGGCGAUGACCUCGGUACCUGGGCCGAUGACCAGCUCGGGAUCGACACCGUCCUGGGUGUUCGGGUUGCCGGCCUUGCCGAUCUUGACGAUGCGUCCGUCCUUGAUGCCGACGUCACCCUUGACGACGCCAGCGACGGCGUCGAGCACGAUGACGCCGGUGAUCACGGUGUCGAGGGCACCGGACGCUGCGGUCGCGCCCGGGUCCUGCGCCAUGCCGUCGCG
rnacentral:sRNA from 1 species